rnacentral:rRNA from 1 species
UGAGGAAUCUUGCGCAAUGGGGGAAACCCUGACGCAGCAACGCCGCGUGAGUGAGGAAGGUCUUCGGGUCGUAAAGCUCUGUCAGGCGGGAAGAAAUGCAUGGAGGUGAACAGCCGCCAUGCUUGACGGUACCGCCAGAGGAAGCACCGGCUAACUCCGUGCCAGCAGCCGCGGUAAUACGGGGGGUGCAAGCGUUGUUCGGAAUCAUUGGGCGUAAAGAGCGUGUAGGCGGCUUGGUAAGUCAGAUGUGAAAGCCCUGGGCUCAACCCGGGAAGUGCAUUUGAAACUGCCAGGCUCGAGUAGGGGAGAGGGAAGUGGAAUUCCUGGUGUAGAGGUGAAAUUCGUAGAUAUCAGGAGGAACACCGGUGGCGAAGGCGACUUCCUGGCCCUAUACUGACGCUGAGACGCGAGAGCGUGGGUAGCA